rnacentral:misc_RNA from 1 species
UCGCGGCUUAUCACCGGCAGUCCCCUUAGAGUGCCCAACUGAAUGAUGGCAACUAAGGGCGAGGGUUGCGCUCGUUGCGGGACUUAACCCAACAUCUCACGACACGAGCUGACGACAGCCAUGCAGCACCUGUCACCGGUCCAGCCGAACUGAAGGUUACCAUCUCUGGAAACCGCGACCGGGAUGUCAAGACCAGGUAAGGUUCUUCGCGUUGCAUCGAAUUAAACCACAUGCUCCACCGCUUGUGCGGGCCCCCGUCAAUUCCUUUGAGUUUCAGUCUUGCGACCGUACUCCCCAGGCGGAGUGCUUAAUGUGUUGACUUCGGCACAGCAGGGGUCGAUACCCGCUACACCAAGCACUCAUCGUUUACGGCGUGGACUAC